rnacentral:lncRNA from 1 species
AUGAAUAGUACCAUGGGUUUCCAGGCCUCCUCCAUAUGUGGUGUCAGCAGGAGGCACAGCAGUGCUGUGGCCCCACCAGAUGUGUUGCUGUGCGUGUGGCCCCAUUCUGUUCCAGAUGAUAGAGUGAGGGUAAAGCACCUGCUUAACAACAUAACAAGAACAUCCACAUCUGUGUGCACCAUCACCUGCAUCUGCAGUGCAGGCCUAAUGGCUGUGAUUGGAGGAGAGAGAAGACACACCCCUGUUUGAAUGGACGAGAGCUGAGACUCAGCACAACGUGACUGGAUUAAGAGAACUCUCAUGUUGCUGGGUUUGUAGAAGAUGACCACUGUUUCUGUUAACACAAGCACAAAAAAAUAAAAAUAAAGAGAAAGGAAUGUGAGGAGAAAGGUGUUACGAGAAAGUACUGUAGGUACAGGACAUCACAGAUCAGCAGAGGAGUGAGUCGAAUAAUGUGCAAUGUAACAGUCACCUCUCUAUCACAGUAUCCUCUCACACACUUACAUUUCAACACGGAACGGAUGCUGCACAAGCCAGCAGCCCUCUGCUGAUAAUAACUGAGUAAGUAGUUAUGAUUAUGGGCAACAUAAUUUGUGGGUUAGCUGUGAGAGCUCAGAGAGAUUUGAGCUCACCGAGGAAGACAUUUAAAGGGCACGUUGGACAUCCCAUCCCUUUAAAUGAGAAAAUCUGGAGACAGUUGCCGGGAGUCACUCAGCAGGUACAGAAGAAUGAUGCAACCUGAGCUGAUAGCAUUAAAUAUUUACCAUAAUUUUAAACCAACUGGCAUCACGACUGCCCCAGGGAAACAAGCUGCAAAUGCCACACACACACACACACACACAGUUGCACCCAUGCAAACACACUCAUUAUUCCAAAGGAAUUACUGUGCUUAAUUUGUCGUCUAACUACUAUCUGUAACGUCAACACAUCAAUCCCCCUGCAAAAUAAAAAUGAAUUCAUCAACAAUAAAACACACCAUUGCUCAGUUCAGUACACUCAGGGGUUUUGUUGCUACAGCCUUACUUGGUCUGGUAUGACCAGUAGUUUAUGGUGGCUAAUGUUAGCUAAUGUUAACAUAAAUAGAUUGUGCUUUAAAACUGACAUUAUUAAGUCAGUUCACUGACUUUAUGACCCUUCUGUUUUAGCAUUAACCAUAAUUCUGUAAUUACCACAGUGUUGUUCAUCAAAAUGUACAAUGACUCACUUUAACUGUCUGUUUGUAAAUAAUUUUUCUGAUCUUUUUUGCUCAAAAUAUAUAGACACAGAUAAUGAUGUUAUUCAAAUACUGAGACAGAUUUAAACACUUUCAAGUCUUGACAUUUUCAUUAAUUCAUCUAGGCUACAAUGAGUAUUAUUCUGUCAUGGCAGCAAUGAUCUUUUAAACACCACCUUUUCCUGUACACAAAUAUUUAAAUUUGGGCUAAAGCUUUUCAGGACAAAAAUGUAAAACCUCCCCUUUAAUCACAAAUCAGAUAAUUGUAUAACCAUACCGUGUAUAAAAUUAGGAGUUACAUCACUACUACUGGGAAACACAAGAGUAGCUGCAUUCACUAUCUGUCUGGUCUUGCCUUAGGCAUGUGGAGGGCAAAGUGCUGUAAUAUUGAACAGCACUGUAGGACCAUUAUCAUAUCAGUCUGUCCGCUGGAAGAAACUGUUUGUUCUGGUUGUUUGUUUCAGUCAUAAUAUGUAACUGUGUUGUGUUUAAAUAAGA